UUAAAACGAGCUCUCGCUCUCGCUCUCGCUCUCUGUGAAAUACUCGUGGAGGAGCUGAUGAUCGCGGCGAUCGAUUUCUAGGUUUCCCCGGGACUGGCUGCGGAGGGACCUGAGCAUCAUCGGGUAUGGGCUGAUCGGCUGGAUGGGCCCGUCCAGCAUCCCGGCCAUCAACGGCAACAGCCUCACGGGGCUCUUCUUCUCCAGCAUCGGCGAGGAGCUGGCGCACUUCCCCACGCCGCCGCCCGUCACCUCCCAGUUCUGGCUGUGGCUAGUCACGUGGCACCUGGGUCUCUUCAUCGUGCUCACCUUCGGCCAGAUCGGCUUCAAGGGCAGGACAGAGGACUACUUCGAGAAGUGAUCAGCGCGCGGCCACGAUCGAUCAAGCUCCGAUCCAUGCAUCGUCUCUGAUAUGAUGCUGCGUUGCGUUCCGCUGCGUGCGUGCCGCAGCAACCAGCAAUCGAUCGAACCUUUGCUGUAUAAUAGUAUAUGAUGGUUCUGAUUUGGUUCAAAAAUGUGUGAUAUGCUACUUUUGAG
rnacentral:lncRNA from 1 species